GAUGAACGCUGGCAGAAUGCUUAACACAUGCAAGUCAACUUGAACUUCGGUUUGGGUGGCGGACGGGUGAGUAACGCGUACAGAACUUGCCUCACAGAUAGGGACAACAUUUGGAAACGAAUGCUAAUACCUGAUAUUAUGAUUAUAUGGCAUCGUAUAAUUAUGAAAGCUAUCUGCGCUGUGAGAGAGCUUUGCGUCCCAUUAGCUAGUUGGAGAGGUAACGGCUCACCAAGGCGAUGAUGGGUAGCCGGCCUGAGAGGGUGAUCGGCCACAAGGGGACUGAGAAACGGCCAGUACGCCUACGGGAGGCAGCAGUGGGGAAUAUGGGACAAUGGACCAAGAGUCUGAUCCAGCAAUUCGGUGUGCACGAUGAAGUUUUUCGGAAUGUAAAGUGCUUUCAGUUGGGAAGAAAAAAAUGACGGUACCAACAGAAGAAGUGACGGCUAAAUACGUG
rnacentral:rRNA from 1 species